rnacentral:rRNA from 1 species
UACAGAGGGUGCAAGCGUUAAUCGGAAUUACUGGGCGUAAAGCGCGCGUAGGCGGCUGAUUAAGUCGGAUGUGAAAGCCCUGGGCUCAACCUAGGAACUGCAUUCGAUACUGAUCGGCUAGAGUAUGAGAGAGGGAGGUAGAAUUCCACGUGUAGCGGUGAAAUGCGUAGAUAUGUGGAGGAAUACCGGUGGCGAAGGCGGCCUCCUGGCUUAAUACUGACGCUGAGGUGCGAAAGGCGUGGGGAGCAAACAGG